CGGACGGGUGAGUAACACGUGAUAACCUACCUAUAAGACUGGGAUAACUUCGGGAAACCGGAGCUAAUACCGGAUAAUAUAUUGAACCGCAUGGUUCAAUGGUGAAAGACGGUUUUGCUGUCACUUAUAGAUGGAUCCGCGCCGCAUUAGCUAGUUGGUAAGGUAACGGCUUACCAAGGCAACGAUGCGUAGCCGACCUGAGAGGGUGAUCGGCCACACUGGAACUGAGACACGGUCCAGACUCCUACGGGANCAGCAGCC
rnacentral:rRNA from 1 species